rnacentral:tRNA from 1 species
CAAGGAAUAGUUUAUAUAAAAAUAUUAAUUUUGGAGAUUAUAGAAAGAAGUGUUUCUUUCCUUGA